AAUUAACCUGGCCAGGUUGGAGAGGAGAAAGGUGGCCAGUACUACAUGCAGGUAGCCUAGCGGUUACAGUGUUGGGGCAUAAACCGAAAGGUAGCUGUUCAAAUACCUGAGGGGACAAGGUAAAAAAAUCUGCCGAUGUUCCCUUGAGCAAGAUGCAGAUCUCUGAGACCUACCACGUGCCUUGAUGAUGCCCUCUGUAACUGGCCUGGAGUUAGCCUCCAUUAUGAGGACUCACCCCCACCCAGGGGUGGUAGGUAGCUAAGCUGUUAAGCUCUUGGGCCAACAACUGAAAGGUUGCUGGUUUGAAUCCCAGACCCGGCAAGGUGAAAGAAAUCUGCCAUUCUGCCAUUGAGCAAGGUUCUAAUCUCAGAGGCCAGAGCAGUGUGGAUGGAAAAUUAGAAGGAAGUAGAAAGUGUUAUUCCAGAGCACUGGAUCAAAGUGUGUGGUGGCCCCCAAAUAAAUAUGACAAAGCAAUGAAGGAUUGGUCCACACCCUCUCUGAAAUGGAAGUCCUUUCAGCUUCUGAGGAUAAAACUCACAUCAGAAUCAAAACAGCAAUGUGAAGACAUCAAAAUCACAGAAGCCAGUGAAGUGGAGAUGUCCAAGAGAAACCGAACUGGCAAAAGUCUACCCAAGCCCCCACCAAAUUAUGCCCCAAAGCACCAGAAAACCUGUGCCACCGCUACCAAGAAGCAAAAAGCUAAAACGCAGCACAAACCACCAAGUAAGGGAAGACCCCUAUGAAAUGGACAGAAAUGAAUAGCAACUUAUUGCCAUUGGGUGAACCAUAUACACAAUCGCAAAUACCACUCAAAUGGACGGCAGUUCAUUCAAACCUUAUGGCAAGUGGAACAUGGCAAAUGGCAAGUGUCAUGCCCCAAAAAUCCCAAAGAUGGCGAGCGCGCUCCACCACUGAUUUUCAUAUGGCAAAUGGUCACAAAGUCAAGACCCAAAAGUUACAUUUUGAAAAUCUAUUUAUUUUUUCAAAAAGUCAUCACCCUCUAAAAAAGUGCUUUCUGGACCAUUUUUUUGUCAAUUAUACAUAUG
rnacentral:lncRNA from 1 species